CAAAAACAGCGUCAGUAACAAGAAGUGUCAGAUAGCCAAAAAGAUCGAGAAUUACGCUUUUCAAAGAGAUAUUUUCCAUCCAGAGAGGAAAUUAUAAGAAUGAUGAUCCAGAGGCCUUGGGCAAUGCUUUCCAGUCGAUAAAAUAUGGAAUGAGUGUCCAUGCUGAAUUGUUACUGCCAAAUGUUUCCAAGUCCCCUAGACAACUUUAAAAUAUGAUAAAUGGGCGUAAUAACAUUGGGUGUGUGUCUUCAGGACCUUCACCACUAUUUAAAAUUGUUUGAAGUUGCUUUAUUUGUUCAUUAUUUAAUGUAAUCAAUUUGGUCGAAAAAAUAAGAAUAAAAGAAUCAUUCUA